rnacentral:ncRNA from 1 species
GAGGAGUUUUAUUCUUGCUCAUUUGUUCAUUAUUUGCUUGCUCUAUAUGUAAGUUCGUGCGUAAUUGUUCUCUUGACUCUAGAUGGGUUAGGUAGGGGUGAUAUAAUUCUCAUUAGUUGUUAUUGCUGAUCAAGUAUUCUUGUAAUUAGUAAUGCAUUUCAGUUUCGGUUAAAUUUUGUGCCAGCAGCCGCGGUUAUACCUUGGAUGUGAUUGAACAUGUUUGGUUUUGGUAGUUUUAUGGUGUGUUAAAUUAUUUUGUGGUUUUAUAUUAGGAGGUUGGUUGGGUGAAAUUUUUAUUUUUAUUGAUUUUUCCUUAUUUUGUUUUGGAGGCUAUGAAAUUCUUUUUUUAGACUAGGAUUAGAUACCCUAUUAUUUUAGGAUGUUAAUUUUUGUGCUUGAGUAGUAUUAGUUAUGUUCUUGAAACUUAAAGAAUUUGGCGGUAUCUUAUUCUGUUCAGAGGAAUCUGUCUCGUUAUCGAUAGUCCGCGUUGGACCUUACUUGGUUGCUAUGGUUUGUAUACCGCCGUUUAUUGAUUAUGUUUUUAGGGUUUUAAUUUUCUGGUUCCUUUAUUUCGGUUUAUUUCAGGUCAAGGUGCAGCUUGUUUCUAAGUGUAUUGAUGGAUUACAUUGGUCUUUGUUGUUUGGAUUGUUGGUUGGAUUAAUUGACAUGAAAUUGGAUUUGAUUGUAAUGUUUUGUAGAUUGUUUAUAUGAUAUUAGUUCUAAGAUAUGUACACAUCGCCCGUCGCUCUCGUUUUUGUUGAUGAGAUAAGUCGUAACAAAGUGGCUGUACCGGAAGGUGCGGCUGGAGUGAC